UUCUUUUUGCCUUCUUCAAUAUGUCUUUUCUUAUUUCUGUGCUACACCCAGGUGCUGUAAUCUCUCACCUGGUUUCCUUAGCUCUAGUGAAGGUAUUUUCAUGCGUGGAUAGUUCAAAUUGAUGUUUCUACGGGGGGACAAGUGCUGGAAAGCCCUAUUCUGCCAUCUUGCUGACGUCCGGACUCCCAAGGAGCUAACCUAUAGGUACUGUGAUGAUUCUUCAAGUUGGGGAUACACCACAGUUAAGGGGAAAGGCUGCUGCCAGGAGUUACUUCAUUUUCAGAGUGUAUUAUUUAUGUAUGAGAUAUGUUCAACAUGUUCUAUGUCUUAGAAGUGCUCCAAGUCAGAAUAUGUUGCUUUUGAAACACAGUAUGGAGAACAUCUACCUGUACUAGACCUGAAGGUAAAUGUGUAGAUGUGAGUAUCCUAAAAUAUACAUAUGAC
rnacentral:lncRNA from 1 species